UACGUAGGGGGCAAGCGUUGUCCGGAUUUAUUGGGCGUAAAGAGCGUGUAGGCGGCCUGAAAGGUCAGCUGUGAAAACUCGAGGCUCAACCUCGAGACGUCGGUUGAAACCAUCUGGCUAGAGUCCGGAAGAGGAGAGUGGAAUUCCCGGUGUAGCGGUGAAAUGCGCAGAUAUCGGGAAGAACACCCGUGGCGAAGGCGGCUCUCUGGGACGGUACUGACGCUGAGACGCGAAAGCGCGGGGAGCGAACAGG
rnacentral:rRNA from 1 species